rnacentral:rRNA from 1 species
AAAGUUGAAAAGUACUCUGAAGAGAGAGUAAACAGUGCGUGAAACCGCUCAGAGGUAAACGGGUAGAGUUGAACUGCAAGCCUUGGAGAUUCAGCUGAUGAGCAUGGCUUGAGCUUGGUCAUAUUGGUCGACGUCAUUGGUCUGCUUAAUUGCAGGUUGCUGCCCUUGGGUGGUGAUUCGCGGUGCACUUAUCAUGUGCUGCUUGCCUUUGACGUCACGGGCCGGUUUGUCAGUGCAUUUCUCCUUGGUGUUCACCACGACCGACGCUGCUGUCUGUCUGCUGUCGCAAUGGAAGGUAAUUCGUUGUCCUUUUGGGCUCCGAGUGUAAUAGCCGGUGACAGUGGAGCUGUGCGGUGCGUCGGAGACGGCGGCAUUGUUGCUAUUGUGGGUACUAUUGUGCUCGCAGUGCGCUGAUGGGCCAAUAGUCUGUGGUGUAGUGGUAAGCUCUCUACCCGACCCGUCUUG